rnacentral:rRNA from 1 species
UUGAACGCUGGCGGCAGGCCUAACACAUGCAAGUCGAACGGUAACAGGAAGCAGCUUGCUGCUUUGCUGACGAGUGGCGGACGGGUGAGUAAUGUCUGGGAAACUGCCUGAUGGAGGGGGAUAACUACUGGAAACGGUAGCUAAUACCGCAUAACGUCGCAAGACCAAAGAGGGGGACCUUAGGGCCUCUUGCCAUCGGAUGUGCCCAGAUGGGAUUAGCUAGUAGGUGGGGUAACGGCUCACCUAGGCGACGAUCCCUAGCUGGUCUGAGAGGAUGACCAGCCACACUGGAACUGAGACACGGUCCAGACUCCUACGGGAGGCAGCAGUGGGGAAUAUUGCACAAUGGGCGCAAGCCUGAUGCAGCCAUGCCGCGUGUAUGAAGAAGGCCUUCGGGUUGUAAAGUACUUUCAGCGGGGAGGAAGGGAGUAAAGUUAAUACCUUUGCUCAUUGACGUUACCCGCAGAAGAAGCACCGGCUAACUCCGUGCCAGCAGCCGCGGUAAUACGGAGGGUGCAAGCGUUAAUCGGAAUUACUGGGCGUAAAGCGCACGCAGGCGGUUUGUUAAGUCAGAUGUGAAAUCCCCGGGCUCAACCUGGGAACUGCAUCUGAUACUGGCAAGCUUGAGUCUCGUAGAGGGGGGUAGAAUUCCAGGUGUAGCGGUGAAAUGCGUAGAGAUCUGGAGGAAUACCGGUGGCGAAGGCGGCCCCCUGGACGAAGACUGACGCUCAGGUGCGAAAGCGUGGGGAGCAAACAGGAUUAGAUACCCUGGUAGUCCACGCCGUAAACGAUGUCGACUUGGAGGUUGUGCCCUUGAGGCGUGGCUUCCGGAGCUAACGCGUUAAGUCGACCGCCUGGGGAGUACGGCCGCAAGGUUAAAACUCAAAUGAAUUGACGGGGGCCCGCACAAGCGGUGGAGCAUGUGGUUUAAUUCGAUGCAACGCGAAGAACCUUACCUGGUCUUGACAUCCACGGAAGUUUUCAGAGAUGAGAAUGUGCCUUCGGGAACCGUGAGACAGGUGCUGCAUGGCUGUCGUCAGCUCGUGUUGUGAAAUGUUGGGUUAAGUCCCGCAACGAGCGCAACCCUUAUCCUUUGUUGCCAGCGGUCCGGCCGGGAACUCAAAGGAGACUGCCAGUGAUAAACUGGAGGAAGGUGGGGAUGACGUCAAGUCAUCAUGGCCCUUACGGCCAGGGCUACACACGUGCUACAAUGGCGCAUACAAAGAGAAGCGACCUCGCGAGAGCAAGCGGACCUCAUAAAGUGCGUCGUAGUCCGGAUUGGAGUCUGCAACUCGACUCCAUGAAGUCGGAAUCGCUAGUAAUCGUGGAUCAGAAUGCCACGGUGAAUACGUUCCCGGGCCUUGUACACACCGCCCGUCACACCAUGGGAGUGGGUUGCAAAAGAAGUAGGUAGCUUAACCUUCGGGAGGGCGCUUACCACUUUGUGAUUCAUGACUGGGGUG